rnacentral:lncRNA from 1 species
CUGUCACAUGUUCCCUUAUCUCUCACAUACUCUCUACCUAAACCCAGUUUUUAAGUGCCGUCACUGGCUUAGCCCUCCAUUCUACGAUGUUUCUUUGUCGUCUUAAGCCUAUAUUGGCCUCUUACUUGCUAUGGUAUCUCCAUUUCUUGGAUCCUUGAGGAGAUUCUCAAGGGAUCUACACAAAUCUGUUUACACCUUUGGGUUUUCUCGCCUGUUUUAGGCAAUUUGGCUCGCCCAUUGAGUAAGAUCCUUCUUAUUUUCGUCUUAAAUACAUGGAUUCCUAAGUCUUUGUUCUUGUCUCUAUUUUUCUUCUAAAAAACCCUAAUUUUAUCUUUGAUCUUCUCAGAUCUGAGACGGAUUGAACGUACUUCAUAUGCUUUCUUGAAAGUUUUCUAUUUUUUUCAAGUGAUUUUUCGUUCUUCCUAAAACUAGGGUUUACUGAAACUCAUCUUCUCAAAGUUUUUCUGAUUUUCAAGUGUUAAUCGUUUGUUCUUAAGUAUUAUUGAUGGAUUUCUGCUAAAAAAUUUUCGUCCCUAAUCAAUUUAUGCUAAAGCCCUAAUUUUCUUAUAUUUUGCUUCGAUUCUGAGUAUUUCUGUGUUACUUGUUACAUUGUUUUGUUCUGUGCUUUAACUUUCAUGAUUUCCCUUUAGUCUAAUUCAAUGUCUUGUGAUUUUUUGCCCUAGUUAUAUCUAUUAGGUUUUCUGAUUCGAUUUAUCGGCUAAUUUCUGUAUGUUUAUGAAAUUCUAUUUAGGCUAUUUGUCUAUUUGUGGAAACUGAUAUUUUUUCCGUAAAUCAGUACUAGUUUGAAUUUUGAUUUAUUGAUCUGAUCUGUCAAAACUUAUGUGCUGGUUCUUGAUUAUUUCACUUGUUUACAACCAUAAUUAGUUUUCUUACCUUAUGUGAUUAGCUAUGAUACUUACUGAUUCUUUAAGAUUGCUUCCUUAAUUGAACUCCUGUCUAUUUACCCCUAAUUGCUCACUUAAUUUUCCUUUCUUAAACGUAUCAUGCCCUUUACCGUUGGGUAAUUAUCCUUACCUAAGGAAAAAACUACACUAAUUUGUGUAAUUGAUUCUGUGACUUCUUUUGUUGCUGAAUGUUUGAUCUCCUUUACCUUAUUAUUUUUUGCUCUUAACUACUAUAUAUACUCUAUUCUAUUCUCACUUCUAACACACAAACAUUAGUUCACAAAAUACUCAUACACUCUAAAAGCUAUCUGUUAUUCUCUACUGCUUGUGGUGUUCACUAGUCUAGCUGGCUGUAAGCCAAGGCUAGAUAUUGCUCAAUAUUUUCUUUGCAUUCUGUGUUUUUCUUCCUAACUGGCAUGUCCCUAAUUAUUUUUUAAUCCAAACCCUAUGUGUUUCAUUACUGUCUUAAGCUCACCAAUUAUAAGUCCCAUUCUUGUUUCUGAUCAUUGUCUUGCUAAACAAUGUCCUAUAUAUGAUUAGCAUGUCUAACUGCAUUAGCAUAUCUAUGCUUUAUCUAGCAUGCCUAAAUUCUGCCUGUUUGAAUGUGUAAUUAUCAUGUCUAUACUUCACCUGUUAUCUGAUACUUGCUUGUUUGCAAUUCAUAUUUAAUCCCUCAACUAUAUAACCAUCCUACUUGUGUGUUUAGUUGAGUAUUCUAAAUCUUCUCUCCAUGUCUUAAUUGCCUACUAUUUUGGAUAAUCUGUUAGAGCUAUGAAGCUCCUAGGUGUUCUAUGAACAUUGUUGUCUACAUGCUUCCCUACACCCUAUUGAUGCACCUUCAAUGAGGCUCCUAUAUGUUCCCCAAUCCCUUCCCCUGUGUGCAAGGCUGCCUACUAUAGUACGUGGAAAUCUGAACCUUCCAUGACCAAAUGGAUGUCUGCUUAAUUUUCCCUCUUUGAACUAUUUUCAAAAUGCUUUCAAUAUUCUUUUAACUAGCUUUCAUUACUAGUAUUUUUCUCAAAACUGGUCUAUUAUAGAAAAAUCUUUUUUCACUCCUAAACUAUUUUCACUAAGUCUUUCAAGCUAUGUCAAGCACUCUCACUUACUCCUAGGUUGCUAAGUUCUUCCCAUAUGGUAUGUGUACUGCUUAGAUAUCAUUGAGAUAUCUCAUAACUCUAGCAUAUCAGGGUUGUCUCUUCCACACUGCACAUAAUCAGUCUUUAAUUAUGAAAAGUGAGCACUGCUCAGGAUCCUUGAGGUCCUUUGGAAACUCUGACACACCUGGACAUGAAAUUGGCUGUGAAAUCGUUGGCAUUUGAGACUACUGAAGGCCUGGUACCCAAGGUUUUCUUUGGGCAUGCAUCAGACUCCUUAUAACUUAAUUUUUAUUGUAUUUAUGUACUUUAUUCGAUCAUUGGUCUGUAAUAAUUAUUUGUAAACAAACAUUGGGGUAACUGGUGAAAAGGGAGGGUAACUAUAUGAUCUUAUGAGUAAUGCUGGGUAGAAAUCAUGUUUCUAGGUCUUACAUUGUGCAACUCUGUACUAGAAAUCAUGUUCUAGGAUUACUGUGUCUAUUUGUAUUCAAACUAUGCCAAGCUUGUUCACUAGACAUUUUGAUUCAGG